UAAGGCACAGGUGAAACCAAUAAGGACAAGGACAGGUUGCUGUGACCAAGGCUAUUCUGGUAGCUCUGUUCAUCUUCGCCAUCCUGCUCAUCCUCUAUGUGAUCCUCUGGUACAUCUGCCGAGACGUGGACUGCGACCACGGCAUCUGAUCUGAUUAACACUGGGAACAGCGCUGAAUUACGAAGGAUAGAACCGUCUGACAGGGUCAUCCUGAGCCUAAGCUUCCACAAUGUCACCACCAGGAGGGAUGUUCUUUUAUUUUCUCCACUCUGAGAGGUAGCCUAUAUCGUUACCCGCGCACGAGGACAGGCAAUGACACUGCGCGGGAACCGGUGCUGUCCCAGUGGGCACAUUU
rnacentral:lncRNA from 1 species